rnacentral:rRNA from 1 species
UACGAAGGGGGCUAGCGUUGUUCGGAUUUACUGGGCGUAAAGCGCACGUAGGCGGAUCGUUAAGUCGGGGGUGAAAUCCUGGAGCUCAACUCCAGAACUGCCUUCGAUACUGGAGAGCUUGAGUCCGGGAGAGGUGAGUGGAACUGCGAGUGUAGAGGUGAAAUUCGUAGAUAUUCGCAAGAACACCAGUGGCGAAGGCGGCUCACUGGCCCGGUACUGACGCUGAGGUGCGAAAGCGGUGGGGAGCAAACAGGG